AUAAGCCCCUCUGUUAACUUUUGUUCAAGCCUGUCUAGAUCUUUUAUCAGUCUAGAAAGAUGUUGGAGAAAAGACAUCAUCCUCUUCUAUAAUCUCCAUCUGUAAUUGGACUAACAACUGGACCAGUGAAUGCAGGCAACUUACUCUCCAUUCGACCUUGCAGGUCACACCAUGGUCUCAAGAGGGAAAAUGAGUGCUCUAUGGAUUGAACAGAAAAGAUUAAUCAAAACUCCAACCAUCUGUAUGAGGGUCUGGAUGGAUAAAGGAUGCCCACUGGAGCUGGAAAUGAUGGAUCAGGUGGAUCCACACUUGAACCAUCUGUAUGAUGAUCUGCACCCACUGGAUCUGUAAAUGGUGGUGCAGGUUUCUGAAUUGAUGUCAGAUGCAAAGCAGAAGCUUAUUUUCUGCCAGUUUGGCUUCAUUGUGGAAAAAUGCUUGAAACUAAAAUGCAGAAUUCUGGCCUGGUGUUUGGUCCCCCUUUCUCUGGCUUGUGUCUCCAUCAUCAUUACACUCUUGUCAGUGUAAUAGUAUCGUCGUCUGCGUACCAGGACUUUGUUACUCAGCUGUCCCUUCUCCUUCAAGCU